CGAAAAAAACCGCUAUUGAAAAUCUGCCAUUGACCGCCAUUGUACUUUCUCUCUGUUUUCUCUCUCACCGCCUUUUUGCCGCUGUGAACAACUCCAAAAAGCCCUCUCUCUUUCUUCUUCUUCACCUUUUUAGAGAGAGAAAGAGAGAAACCCAGUUAUCUUUUCGGUUUCCUUAUUGAUUUCUCUCUCUAUCUAUAUGUAUAUAUAUCUAUAUAUCUAUAUGUAUGCAUUGUUUCUUCAUUAUUCGUCCAUAUCUCUAUUAAUUCAUCAAUUAACUACAAAACCCAUCUCCCAUUUGUUUGAUCCAACGGCCAUAAUUCAUCUGCUUAUUCAAUCGUUCGACUAAAAGGAUUUGUCUGCUGAAGGGGCUGAAGGAGUUGAAAUUUGUGAGGCCAGGCAUAUGGAAUCUAAUGGUUACAGAAAGAGUAACAAAAGGAAUCUUGUUACCGUUCAAAAUGGUAAUCAUAGCCCGCUGAAUAUAGAUGAGGAGCUGGAUCCAUGGACUGCUUGGGCAUACAAACCUCGUACUAUUACAUUGUUGCUUAUUGGUGCAUGUUUCCUCAUCUGGGCAAGUGGAGCUCUUGAACCGCAAAGUACUUCCUCCAGUGACGUUACUACUUCUGUGAAAAGGGGAAUUUUGGCAAUGGUAGCUGUUUAUCUUGCCUACUCUUUGCUGCAAGCCCCUUCAACGGUACUUAUUAGACCACAUCCUGCGAUUUGGCGCCUGGUUCAUGGAAUGGCUGUGAUUUAUCUUGUUGCUUUGACAUUUCUACUUUUUCAGAGGCGCGAUGAUGCUCGCCAGUUUAUGACAUUUCUUCAUCCUGAUCUUGGCAUUGAACUUCCUGAAAAAUCUUAUGGUGCUGAUUGCAGACUCUAUGUACCUGAAAAUCCCACAAACAGGUUUAAGAAUCUUUAUGACACAUUGUUCGAUGAGUUCGUUCUGGCUCAUAUCUUAGGGUGGUGGGGCAAGGCCAUCAUGAUACGUAAUCAGCCUCUUUUGUGGGUCUUAUCCAUUGGGUUUGAGUUGAUGGAGCUUACUUUCCGCCACAUGUUACCAAACUUUAAUGAGUGCUGGUGGGACAGCAUUAUUCUGGAUAUAUUCAUUUGCAACUGGUUUGGCAUCUUGGCUGGAAUGCGUACUGUUCGAUAUUUUGAUGGAAGAACAUAUGAGUGGGUUGGUAUAAGCCGGCAGCCAAAUAUUAUGGGCAAGGUCAAGCGAACACUUGGCCAAUUUACACCUGCACAUUGGGAUAAAGAUGAAUGGCGACCCCUCCUUGGUCCCUGGCGAUUCCUUCAAGUUCUCACUCUCUGUGUUAUUUUCUUGACUGUGGAAUUGAAUACAUUCUUCUUGAAGUUCUGUCUUUGGAUUCCUCCUAGAAACCCUCUGAUAGUGUAUAGGUUGGUUUUGUGGUGGCUACUUGCGAUACCAACAAUUCGGGAGUACAACAGUUACCUACAGGACAGGACACCAGUUAAAAAGGUGGGAGCAUAUUGCUGGCUUUCACUAGCUAUUUGCAUUGUUGAACUCCUAAUCUGCGUCAAGUUCGGACAUGGAUUGUUUCCUGACCCCAUGCCCAAUUGGUUAGUAAUUUUCUGGACAUGCACCGGCGUUGGCCUUGUGUUAUGUUUGGCUGCAUGGUCAUGGCAAUUACGUCGUACAAUGAGGAAAAAACAGCAAUGAGUUUCUGCAGUAACUCCAUUCUUUAUUCCUUUGUGUUAUUUCGGGUCACAGGUUGGUAGAUGCCUUGUUUGUGCUGCCUCAGUUUGCAGGCUCUUUCCUAAAUAAUUUUUUUUUACGGAGUGUGUCGAAACUUGAAAGUUUUGCAAUUUCAGCUCUAUCUCCAGGGCUAUUGUUCUCUCGAAGAUCAUCGAGUCUAUCGGUGGUACAAGUUUCUGAGAACUGUCUUGACCAGAUAAUGUGGAACAGAACAUAGUUUUCAUGCAUGAGGUAUGAUAUAGCAUCUUUGAUAGUAGAUGAUGUUAGUAUUAGUGGUUUUCAAGCUAACAUAGCUCUAGUCUACCAUAAGGGGAGUGGACUCACUAUUUAUUUUUCUUGUGGUUGAUUUGAGAAACAAUACCCACCGUCUAUGAAACGGUAGAUAGCAACAGAAAUCGAAGGACAAGAAAUCAUAGGAGCAAUACUACAGGUAGUAGCGUGGACGGAUUUUGUUCCUACCCUAAUUUGUGUCCUCCAUAUCUCCUAUCUGAAGUUAUGUCUUUGGUAAUUUGAGACUGCAUCAUGUCCAAUCUAAUUACCUCUAUUCAGUAUUUUUUUGAUUUAUCCUUUGCCUUUUGAGAAACUAUCUAUACAAAGUCAACUUCUUACACCUCCACCUUGCGGGAUUCGUGUCCGUUCUUAAUAUAUUGGAACCAUCUCAACCUCAUUUCUCACAUUUUGUCCUCCACUGAAGUCGCUUCUAUCUGGUUACAAAUAUCCUUAUUUUUAAUCUAUCUCCCUCACAUCCAUUGCGACAUCCUCAUUUUUGCAAUUCUCAAGUUUUGAACGUGAAAGUUCUUGAGUGAUCAACGCUUAUUCCCAUACAACAUAAUUGUGCUAUGUAGAACUUGCGUUAAUGACAUCUUUUUAUCACAGAGGACUCUCAGUUUCAUCCAUUCUACACCAAUACGGUGAGUGACGUCCUCAUUUAUCAUUUUGAUAAUAGAUUCGAAAUACUUGAAACUUUCGCUCUUUUAAUGACUUGUGUAUCAAGUUUCAUUUUUACACCCGUCUUAUGUAUUACGUCACUAAACUUGCACUUCAA